GAUUAACGCUGGCGGCGUGGAUAAGACAUGCAAGUCGAACGGAAACUUCAGCUGUAGCAAUACAGUUGAAGUUUUAGUGGCGAACGGGUGCGUAACACGUGGGCAAUCUGCCGAGAAGUGGGGGAUAGCUCGCCGAAAGGCGAAUUAAUACCGCAUGUGAUCAGGAAAGACAUCUUUCCGACAUCAAAGCCGGGGCAACCUGGCGCUUCUUGAUGAGCCCGCGGCCUAUCAGCUAGUUGGUGAGGUAACGGCUCACCAAGGCUUUGACGGGUAGCUGGUCUGAGAGGACGACCAGUCACACUGGAACUGAGACACGGUCCAGACACCGUACGGGUGGCAGCAGUCGAGUAAUUUUUCNCAAGUGGGGCAACCCUGAAGGAGCGACGCCGCGUGGAGGAUGAAGG
rnacentral:rRNA from 1 species